GACGAACGCUGGCGGCAUGCCUAAUACAUGCAAGUCGAACGCUGAAGCACUCUGCUUGCAGAGUGCGGAUGAGUGGCGAACGGGUGAGUAACACGUGGGAAAUCUGCCUAGGAGUGGGGGAUAACAUUCGGAAACGGAUGCUAAUACCGCAUAUCUUUUUGAACCGCAUGGUUCUUAAACGAAAGACGGCUUCGGCUGUCGCUCUUAGAUGAUCCCGCGGCGUAUUAGUUAGUUGGUGGGGUAAAGGCCUACCAAGACCAUGAUACGUAGCCGACCUGAGAGGGUGAUCGGCCACACUGGGACUGAGACACGGCCCAGACUCCUACGGGAGGCAGCAGUAGGGAAUCUUCCACAAUGGGUGAAAACCUGAUGGAGCAAUGCCGCGUGAAUGAAGAAGGUCUUCGGGAUCGUAAAGUUCUGUUAUUAGAGAAGAACAAGUCAAGGAGUAACUGUCUUGACUUUGACGGUACCUAACCAGAAAGUCACGGCUAACUACGUGCCAG
rnacentral:rRNA from 1 species